UGAAAUAUCAGCAAUGAUAUCAUUGUUUGCCGAAUAUUCAGUAUGUUCCUGAGAUUGCUGAAACUUCAGCAAAACACCUGUCAAAGACUUAUAUAAUUUAUUGAUAGCUCUUCCGCGAAAUAUAAACAUCUGAACUUGAGAUACUGGUAAGUAUUUAUCGGUAGUUUCUCAUGUUAUACGAUAAACUUCUCCUUAUUAUACUUUUUAUAUAGUUUGAACAUCUACGAGGAAACGCGAAGUUCCUGGAUCAAAGUACACAGCAAAAAAUUAUGUAAUAUGGCUCGAUGUAAUAAUGCCGACGUAAUGAAAAAUCAAUGUAAUCACAAAUUUCAGAUGCAUAAUAACAUUAUCUGCUGUGUGAUAUCACAUUGCCCUUAAAUUACAUUGAAACGACAUCAUCACUCUGCAGUACGUUGGUCUUGUGUAAUAUUUACAUAUGAAACAUGAACAAUAUUACACAUAAACUGCUGCAACCACAUCAUUCCGACCUGCUCAAGUGAUAUUACACAAAACCGAUGUUAUUUCACAUUCAAUCUCAAUGCGAUAAUAAAUCUCGCAACACUGUCCGCAAGUUGUUGUUUGAUAGUCGACAAGUGACGGCGCCAUUUUCUCGGAGCUGUUCGUGUUCGAAUCUUUUUAAGUGAUUAUAUUAGGAAAAUUUAAAACAAAAUCGAAAAUUUAGUGCAUUAGACCAUGAAAACGUGUAUUAAUUGUGGUAAGUAUCGAUUUCGACGAAAAAAAACCAUGAUACGACGGGAUCGGAAUUUCGAUCAAUCGGGGGUUAAAAUGAAAAAUGUCCCAGCGGCCGUGGAGCGAAAUCCAUCAAAAAUAACUUAUGUGAAUAUUUUCUCUCAUUCAACAGGAUCAGGAAGAAGUUCAAUACAUCCGGUGCUUGGCCCACUACCAACGGUAACUUCAGCAAUCCGGACAGGUGCCCAUCAAUGUGCCCCCGAAGGACAAAGUCAUUCCGAUGCCUCCGCUUUCUCAGACCAUUCCGGAUCUUCCGCCAGGGACCAGGGGAAUAAACCAAAUACAUGGAGCUGACAAGACUUUCAAAUUGAUUGCGUCGGAGAAUCAGUUCGACCAGUUUUGCACCGUCGGUGCAGGGAUCGGUUCCGAUCCGCGCUACAAGAUGGUUUACUCCACUAGGGUGCCCUGCUCUGUGGAGAAGCUGGGCUUGCCGAUGGCGAUUUUUCCGGCGAAAGGGAUGCCAAUUUCAAGAAGCUGGAAAAACGCGGCGUGAUUUGUGAUUACCACAGCCCAUGGGACACAUUUGCCUAUGUGCAAGGGAAAUUAUCGACCACCAAGGGAGUUGAACUAGAACACUGUUUAUCAUUAUGGGACGAUGAAGGAUCUUCGUCAGCUUAUUUGGCUCGAAUGGAUCUAAUUCCAGCGACGACAGUGAAAAGGGUCAACGAGUUUGGAUUUGCUGAUCGAACUGUACUAACCGUUUAAUUGGCUGCUUUUAGGAAAUAAGCACAUUUUGUAUUUAUCAAUACCUUCAGAUCAAAAGUUCAUCCAUCAACGACCUCUUGGGCCAUACUUCCAUGACUUAUCUAUUAAUCAUGUAAAUAAUUAUAAAGAAAAUAAAGAGAAUAUAAAAGAUCAA